rnacentral:tRNA from 1 species
GGGGGUGUGACGGAAUGGUAGACGUAACGGACUUAAAAUCCGUGGACUUUAAACGGUCGUAUGGGUUCAAGUCCCAUCACCCCCA